GGCGUGUUGCCAGAGUGGUUAAUGGGUAUGACUAGAAAUCAUAUGGUUUCGGCCGCGUAGGUUCAAAUCCUGCACACGUUCG
rnacentral:tRNA from 1 species